AAGAGGUCGAAAAACCUACGAACAUCCAACCUACCCUGAUGAACUACACACUCGUUUUGUUGCUGGCUUUGGCCGCAGUUGUCGCUGCUAGACCAAACCCAGAUUCCAAUGUUGAAAGGUGCAGUCCCUCCAUGAUUAACCCUACCUUAUGUCCUAGCGGUGUACAACAGACGAUGGUGGACGGUUGCCCUAGGUACAGUUGUUGUCCGCUGGCUAACGUGAUCAACCCUAGCUCCUGCCCUUCCGGAGUUUCUACGAAGAAGGUUGAUGGUUGUACGGUUCAAAGUUGUUGUCCGCUGGCUAACGUGAUCAACCCUCGCUCCUGCGGCCCUCCCGGAGUUUCUACGAAGAACGUUGAUGGUUGUACGGUUCAAAAGUGUUGCCUGCGCGCCACUACGAUGUUUUGUCCAGGAGACUUGAUUCCAGUCUUAUUCACGAGAAGUGAUGGAUGCAAAGAGUUUCGGUGCCCGACGGUGUGAUGUCAAAGGGAUAGUUUUGUUAAUUACAGGCGAAGAAGAAACGGCGUGCCAUGGGAAUUCACUUACUGAAGACACAAUUAAAGAACAAGCUUCAAGAUUCAAUUUUUCCUGUAUGAUUACUUUCUUACACUUUAAAGUAUUAAACGGUUGAAAAUUA